AAAGAUCUACGCAAAUCGCUAAGAGCUGGAUCUCUGGAAAUUAUAUCAUUAUCGUGUAAAGGAAGUUAGUCUUGGUAGUGGUGGCUGCUUAUAAACCAUUCAAUACGCACCUGAGAACGUGUCGUUGUGACCCUUCGACUGCAGUACAGAGAGGAAUGUCCAAAGUUUCUGAUGCGUUUCCACAAACGACUUGUAACCGGACAUUUCCGGCGCGAUGAAACGCAGCGCCGGGAAAUGGUUGAAAGGCGCGCCGAUCAUAUCAACCUCUUCUAGGAGCUUCGCGAAGAUCUUCUGCAGAUAGGCGAGUUCCUUAUCAUUGAUAUCGUAUCUGUGUGAAAACUACGAUGAACGAAGAUAAUCCAGAAAACAACGCGUACCUCUUGCCAGCCAUCAUCCUCCAUAAGGUGUUCAGUACAGUCACACCAAAGGCGUUGUGCAUAAAUACGAUCACUCCUGCCGAUUGAGCAACUUUUCGGACCUCAACGUAGUCCUCAGCUUUCACGUAUAAAUCCGCAGCUGUCGAAGCGCGUUUCUUGAUAGUUUUGUUUUCGAUCACGUUGAACUGCUCGUACAGGCCCGGCUUCUUCAGGUCGUUCGGCACCUUCUGCAGUUUAUAUAUCUGGCCGACGUUGUUGUCGUUCACCACUGACUUCCGGAUGUUAGUCAGCUGCUCAUUGUAAUCGCCGUGUAGCAGCUUGUUGAAAUGCUCCACCAGCUUCUGAGCCUCGUACUGGAUGAUUGUGUCCAUGGUAUUGCGACCGAAGCCGAAAUCACGCAAAUGCCGCAUUACGAAUUUUCGUUGCUCGACCCACAAUCGUCCAUCCACGAGAAUGAGACCUGGUCAGGAGGUAUAGUUACUUGUCAAUGUCCGAUAAAAAAAAAUUAUACUGGAUAAGUGCAAAAGUUUUUAGAUCAGAUAUCGUGAUGAGAACUUGGACCAAAAGUAACAUCAUUGGAAACAUCUUAUUCAUUCUACCAAGUAAUCACUAUUGUUUUCUAUUAACUUUGGUAUAUUAUAUAUUUAAUUAUAAGUUUUAUUAUUUAUUAUUAUAAGUACUGCUGUAGAAAACUAUUGUAUCUCUGAGAAGCUCAUCAAAACUUAUACAUUGACCUAAAAUAUAGUUAUAUAAAAUAA